rnacentral:rRNA from 1 species
UACGAAGGGGGCUAGCGUUGUUCGGAUUUACUGGGCGUAAAGCGUGCGCAGGCGGUUGUGCAAGACAGAUGUGAAAUCCCCGGGCUCAACCUGGGAACUGCAUUUGUGACUGCACAGCUGGAGUGCGGCAGAGGGGGAUGGAAUUCCGCGUGUAGCAGUGAAAUGCGUAGAUAUGCGGAGGAACACCGAUGGCGAAGGCAAUCCCCUGGGCCUGCACUGACGCUCAUGCACGAAAGCGUGGGGAGCAAACAGG